AAAACAUGGUUUUAAUAAUAUAUUUUAAAAUCUAAUCUGCUCACUGAAGAAUUUUUAAAGAGCCGCAGUAUUUUGACUGUGCAAAGGUAGCAUAAUAAAUAGUUUUUUAAUUGGAAACUGGAAUGAAUGAUUGAAUGAUAAAUUUUCUUUCUUAAUUUUAAAAAUUGAAUUUAAAUUUUAAGUUAAAAUUCUUAGAUGAUUUUAAAAGACGAGAAGACCCUUUAGAUUUUUAUUUAUUAUAAAUUAAUUAUAAUUAUUAAAUUUAAACUUAAAUUUAAUUGGGGUGAUUAUGUAAUAUAAAAAACUUAGUUUUUUUUAACCAUAAAUAAUUGAAUUUUUUGAACUAAAAAUUUUAAAUUAAGAAUAAAUUACCUUAGGGAUAACAGCGUUAUAUUAUUUAAGAGUUCAUAUUUAUAAUAAUGAUUGCGACCUCGAUGUUGAAUUAAAAUAAAUAUAGGAGUAGAAGCUUAUAAAUUUUAGUCUGUUCGACUAUUAAUAUUUUA
rnacentral:rRNA from 1 species